rnacentral:rRNA from 1 species
GAUGAACGCUGGCGGCGUGCUUAACACAUGCAAGUCGAACGGAAAGGCCCAAGCUUGCUUGGGUGCUCGAGUGGCGAACGGGUGAGUAACACGUGGGUGAUCUGCCCUGCACUUUGGGAUAAGCCUGGGAAACUGGGUCUAAUACCGGAUAGGACCAUCGUUUAGUGUCGGUGGUGGAAAGUUUGUCGGUGUGGGAUGAGCUCGCGGCCUAUCAGCUUGUUGGUGGGGUAAUGGCCUACCAAGGCGUCGACGGGUAGCCGGCCUGAGAGGGUGUACGGCCACAUUGGGACUGAGAUACGGCCCCGACUCCUACGGGAGGCAGCAGUGGGGAAUAUUGCACAAUGGGCGCAAGCCUGAUGCAGCGACGCCGCGUGGGGGAUGACGGCCUUCGGGUUGUAAACUCCUUUCGCCAAGGACGAAGCGUUUUGUGACGGUACUUGGAGAAGAAGCACCGGCUAACUACGUG